UUUGGUCGUAACACUGACCAUAAGCUGUUCAACAGCUGUCGGAGGCUCAUUUCAAUGGAUGGCAGUGUCAGGUUCCUUCACCCCACGCACAGCUGUGCUUCGUUUCGUGUCUGCUCCCAUGCUGCUGCAGACGGCUGUCCUUCGGUCUAGUUCUUGAUCGCAAAUAAAGGUGACACAGCCGGAUACUAAAACGAUGGGCAGUUUAGGAGCUGAUAAUUUACUAACCUGUGAUACGUAGAAGACUGUAGUUUGCCUAGAAGUGAACGUGCGCAGCCUGUUCCCGGUCUUGAGACACGCACUACACGCGCGACGUCACGUUCAGCGGGGGCUUAAAGGGACAGUAGCACUCAAACCUGCAGUCAUGGAAGAAGAGCUCCGAUCAUUGACCCACGUAGAAGCGCUGAUAUGAAUGGCCAGCACUGGCCAGCACAGGCCAGACGAGCCGGCUUGGGAUGGACCGGCGAGAAGGGGUGAAAGUAAAGCGACCGACAAGUGCAGCACAUUUUUGGGAACGUCUGCAAUAGUGUUGGGACGAAUUCCACAAGCGAUACUUGAUUUUCAUUUACAGACAGAGUGGAACAGAUGUGUUUGGCUGUUGAAUGAGUCAAAAAUUUAGAGAUUCCAUUAUUAAUUAUUAUUUUUUCCAUGCUUGAAUUUUAAUUUCUGGUCUUCUAAAGGUCUUCUAAAACUUUUGACCAAUAAUGUAUAAGAUCAUGAUUUGAAAAGUAACUCGAAACUGUAGCUGUAACACACAUGUAACGACGUAAAAAGUACAAUAAUUACACUAUCUCUGAAAU